rnacentral:rRNA from 1 species
UACGUAGGGUGCGAGCGUUAAUCGGAAUUACUGGGCGUAAAGCGUGCGCAGGCGGUUAUGUAAGACAGUUGUGAAAGCCCCGGGCUCAACCUGGGAAUUGCGAUGGAGACUGCAAGGCUUGAAUCUGGCAGAGGGGGGUAGAAUUCCACGUGUAGCAGUGAAAUGCGUAGAGAUGUGGAGGAACACCGAUGGCGAAGGCAGCCCCCUGGGUCAAGAUUGACGCUCAUGCACGAAAGCGUGGGGAGCAAACAGG